rnacentral:lncRNA from 1 species
UUUUUUUUUUUUUUUUUUUACACAUAUACUUGUACACAGGGACACACGCAGAUACACACACACACACACACACACACACACACACACUCACAUACACGCAUGCAUGCACACAUCUCUACUGAGCUACCUUACUGUUGUUUAUUUGUAGAUAAAGGUAUUUAAUAGAAGGAAGAGUUUUGGGUCCAUUAUCAUUACAGCAGAAAUGUAUAGCAGCAGUCAGGCAGGCAUGAAGACAGGAGAUGGAAACAGAGGUGAGGAAGCCCUUGGAUUAGGUAGAUAUAUCUCUUUAGGUAUAUCUAAAAUGAUAAAUCUUAAACAGGAAGCAGAGAGCAAACAUGAAAUGGUACCCAGGAUUUGAAACCUCAAAGUCUGCUCUGAGUGAUAUCCUCCAGCAAGGUCAAAGCUCUGUUCAAUCCCCAGUCUACCAACUAGAAACCAACUCUUCAAAUGCUUGAGAAUAUGGGGGACAUUUAAUUAGAACAAUCACAGAAAUUCUUCCAUUGUCAGCUUCCCCUAGAAGCACCUGGGUUCCUUCAAGACAUUGUACAUGAGUAUUAGAUAUAUACUUGUGACCAUGCAAUUAUUUAUCUCGGUAUCUAUCUCUUCCCCGGAGCCUUCAAGCUGACAGCCUAUAAUUUCAGCACAGAUGGGACAUAGUUUUAUGAUAAAAUGACCAAGGCUUUGCAUUUGGAAACUGUGUCAGUUUUCUAUUGGCACUGUAAUUAAUUUCCACAGGUAAGUAAACAAGCAGCUUCCUUUUGUUGUAAUUGUUUUCUCCAUUUCCCAGGGAAGUGAAGAAAAGGACAGAGGAUGACGACAGCAGAUCUAUCACCAGUCUGGCUGGGUCUACUUCUAAAAAGUCACUGCAGAUGAAGAACUGUUGCAAUGGCUAAAGCCCAGUUGUUCUGUGUUCACAAAGUCCUUGCUUCCAGAUUACUGACUGUGGGACCCUGGCUCUCCAUGAAGCAGUGCAUAAUAUGACACUGGGAUCUGAGGAAUCACAGCCUGGCCAAUUGCACUGUUCUUCCCCGCUCUCAGCAACCUGAAGCUUGCUUUGUUCUAUCUCAGUGAGCUAUUUGGGAUGGCUGGCCCUAUAGAUCUAAGAGAAAAUGUGUUAAUGUUUUUAAUAUGAUAUGGUAAAAUAAAAUAACAUUUCUCAGAUCAAAGCUAUUGAGAAACCACUUAUAACACUGCUUUAUAAGAAAACCUGUAGUUUGUAAUUAUCCUGUGACAGUGUUUACUUAAAAUUUUGGACAAAAGAGUAUAAUACUUUAUUUGUAUUAUGGAACUCAGUGGUUUAAAACAGAGAAUUAGGCAACUGGCAGUGUAUUAUAUAUUACAGUUUUAAACCAUGGCUGGUGUAAGGUAGCAUGAAUGGUUUCAUUUGGCACCUCAGCUUAGCCUGAUAACAUGGUGCCUGUUCAGGCCACAUUACAAUGUUCCCAUCUGGAAAACAAGUAAGUUGUUCUCUAGGGCCUUUCAGAUUCUGUAGCAUCUUAAGAAGGGGGAAGGGUGCAGUGGUCCACAGUCAGGAAGGACCACUGUGAAGUCUGUGGCUUAAAUCAUUAAGUGAAAAUGUUAGUAAAGAUGUGUAUAAUACAUACUACUGGGAGAACUAUGCCACCAACAGGUAUCUCACAUAGUGACUGCCAGAGGCUGGGGGAAGAAGGGAGUUGGCACUAAUGGUCAACCUUCUUAGGAGGAUGGCCACAGUCUCAUGGCAUCUGCCUGGCAGUAGUCGUGCUAAAAGCCACCAAACUCAGUAUUUGAAAAGGAUAAGUGUUGAGAAUGUGAAUUAUGUUUCAUGGAAAAUAUAAUGGUAACUGAAGUAACAAUACUUUGCCAAAUGAAUAUAUUGUCGCGAUUUCACAUUGUCCUGUGGUUUAACAUAUUAUCUGUAGCAUAAUGCCAGCCCCUCAGCACCUAACUUCAAGCAUUAACUUUCUCCUUGAUGAACAAUGUAAGGUUGUUAUUAAGCAUAGCUUUGGAAUGUGCUGCAUCUAAAAGAGGACCAGUCUUUAAAACUUUGAGUCUGUCCUUUAGAUAGUGACUAAAGGACACUAUCCUUACUAGUGUGACUGCUCCUCACUGGUUUUGUUUUUCUCCUGGAACCUGCAGUGCCUUCUGACCAAAAUGUCUUCCAAGAGUCAGAAGCUUCACUAUCUGACUCAGGAUGGGCCGACAAAAACAUGUUUCUAGUGGCCUGAACCAAUUAGAUUAUUCUUAGUAAGAGACUCAGAUACCUUGGUUCAUAUAGAUCUAGGCUUUGAAUAGCUUACCCAGAACAUAAAUAAUCGCUGUUACUUAUGUAAGUUGUAUAGUAUCUGUUCAAGCAUUCUUUUUUUUUAGCUAAAAUAGUUGCUUAGGCUAGUGAGGUGUCUCAGGAAGUACAAGUACUUGUUGCACAAGCUUGCCAACUCCAGAUUUGUACCUGACCCCACAGUGGAAGGGCAGAACUGUCUCCUGAAAGUGGUUCUCUAACCUUCAUAUGUGUGUUCUAGUGAACAAAUGAUAUGUCCACACACAUAGAAUAGUAGAUAUUUUUUAAUAACACUUCCUUUAAACAAACCCUUCUGUGCUUUUGAUGUUUGUCAUUAAACUUUAAAUUGUUUGAGCUUCAUUAUAUUUUUUUAAUAAAUGGGAACUGACUAGAUACAUUUAUACACAAAAGUUACAUACCUUAUCCCUAUAGAAAUACUCUAGGGUCUUAACAAGAAAAUUGAAUCUUCAGUAUCUACAUAGGAAUUGCUAUUUUGUGGUUAAUGGUUUCUAGCUUCAGCUGAAAGGUUACUGAUUAAAAAGAAUACAUUGAUUGUGAGGAAUGGCCAGAGAAAUUGGCACACAGGUUGAGGUGGUGGUCAUUUUGUAAUAUAUGUCACAGUUAGAAGUUUGCUAUUAGUCUCACCUUCAGGUGUGGGUUUCCAAGACAAGGCUGAGUCUUAUACAUUGAUGGAUUGCACUCACCGAACAGACUCUGUUAGCAUGUGUGCUAGCCUGUUCUCUUUAUUUAUUUUCCCCAAAGUCCUUUUGUCUUCUAUUCUCUGUAACCAAGGGUGUAUUAUUAAUGCAGACGUUCUGCCUGGGGUUUUGCCUCUAGUUGAGGGGCCAGAACAGCUGUGUUUACCAGAAAGUUGUCUAGGUGACAUGACUGACAAGCUUAGUGAUCUGAAUAUAAAAUAUUCAAAUUAAAGAUUACUAUCUCUACAUAACAAACUUGUUUAAGGAAAAGCUAAAUCAAACUAUUUUUAUCUGAUUUUUUGGGAGACUGUUUUGAUUUCUUGAAAAGUGUUCUCAAAUUUAAAUUAUAUUUUAAGUAAAGACAAAAUAAUGUUUUCAGCUUAAGCUUACUUAGAUAUAUUAACACAUUUCUCACAAAUAAUGUAUUUUGUAUUCAUUUUUCCUUAGACAACUUUUAAAAACCCAACGAUGCUAUAUCUUCCUUUUAAAUACUCUCUAACACAUUGGAUAAUGUAUUAAUUAUCAAAAAUAAUGUUGGAGAAGCAGGCAUUUUUUUCACUGUUAACUUCUAGGCCUGUUAAUUUUUAUAAUUUAUUUUUCUUCUUGCUGCUUUAUACAAUGUUAUAUAACAUUUAACUAUUUAAUACUGUGUGAUUUGAAUAAAUAAAACUGUCCUUCCUCCUCUAAUGUUAAAAUUGAGGUUAAGGGUAAAGGCUUAUUUUCAUAUUUAUACAGUGGUUAGACUCAGAAUAUUGUUUUGUAGGUUUUUGUUGUAUAUAUGUAUAAGAAAUUCAGUGUGUAUAUGACAGGUAGGCAACUGGGAACUGAGUUACUCUUAUGUAUAUGAUUUUGGUUUAUAUGGUUUGCAUUUUUCACACUUUAAGCUGUAUUUCAUCCUACUGUUUAUAUCUUUUCAAACAAUUGAAAUACCAUAAAAUAUAAUUGUAUAACAAUGAAACUUUUCCAAGGAGCUACAGAAUCUGUGCCUUAAAAAAUACAAUAAAGUGCUCUUCUUUUGGC